CUGCCGGGAGUCGCCGCGGCUCCGGCGCCGCUGCCAUGCACCCCUCUGCGGCCGGCCGGCGGAGGAGGCGGAGGAGGAAGAGAUGCUAAUGAGGGAGGCGGUGUCAGGGCUCCGCCGGGGUUGGGGGGUGCUCGCAAGCGCGGUCUGGCCCCGGCAGCUCCGAGCCCCGGUAGCGAUCCCUGCCCGCUCCCUCUGCGUCGCUCGGGCCGGAGCGGGCUCAGUCCCCUCCCGUUUUAAUAUCUGUGUCUGGCUGAAAUCCCUCAGGAUUCCAACACGGUUUUUUUCUAAACAUCAGCAUUUCUUAAACAAAAAACCCCACUUCAAUGGCACAGAUUUAAAUCUGCAUUUAUAUCAUAAGAACUAUAUGAGGGUGGAUGGAGUUUUCAGGCCAUUCGUUACCCAGAUUGAUGGGUGACCAAUGAAAUUGGAAAAGGAAGCAAUUAUUUUUCCAAGUCCAGUGGUAGACACCCAGUUGCAGGUAUGUUUAAAUACUGCUCAUGGGAAGUUUAGAGAUUUUUCAUUUCCCUGAGUAAAG
rnacentral:lncRNA from 1 species